UUGAAGAGUUUGAUCAUGGCUCAGAUUGAACGCUGGCGGCAGGCCUAACACAUGCAAGUCGAACGGUAACAGGAAACAGCUUGCUGUUUCGCUGACGAGUGGCGGACGGGUGAGUAAUGUCUGGGAAACUGCCCGAUGGAGGGGGAUAACUACUGGAAACGGUAGCUAAUACCGCAUAACGUCGCAAGACCAAAGAGGGGGACCUUCGGGCCUCUUGCCAUCGGAUGUGCCCAGAUGGGAUUAGCUAGUAGGUGGGGUAACGGCUCACCUAGGCGACGAUCCCUAGCUGGUCUGAGAGGAUGACCAGCCACACUGGAACUGAGACACGGUCCAGACUCCUACGGGAGGCAGCAGUGGGGAAUAUUGCACAAUGGGCGCAAGCCUGAUGCAGCCAUGCCGCGUGUAUGAAGAAGGCCUUCGGGUUGUAAAGUACUUUCAGCGGGGAGGAAGGGAGUAAAGUUAAUACCUUUGCUCAUUGACGUUACCCGCAGAAGAAGCACCGGCUAACUCCGUGCCAGCAGCCGCGGUAAUACGGAGGGUGCAAGCGUUAAUCGGAAUUACUGGGCGUAAAGCGCACGCAGGCGGUUUGUUAAGUCAGAUGUGAAAUCCCCGGGCUCAACCUGGGAACUGCAUCUGAUACUGGCAAGCUUGAGUCUCGUAGAGGGGGGGUAGAAUUCCAGGUGUAGCGGUGAAAUGCGUAGAGAUCUGGAGGAAUACCGGUGGCGAAGGCGGCCCCCUGGACGAAGACUGACGCUCAGGUGCGAAAGCGUGGGGAGCAAACAGGAUUAGAUACCCUGGUAGUCCACGCCGUAAACGAUGUCGACUUGGAGGUUGUGCCCUUGAGGCGUGGCUUCCGGAGCUAACGCGUUAAGUCGACCGCCUGGGGAGUACGGCCGCAAGGUUAAAACUCAAAUGAAUUGACGGGGGCCCGCACAAGCGGUGGAGCAUGUGGUUUAAUUCGAUGCAACGCGAAGAACCUUACCUGGUCUUGACAUCCACGGAAGUUUUCAGAGAUGAGAAUGUGCCUUCGGGAACCGUGAGACAGGUGCUGCAUGGCUGUCGUCAGCUCGUGUUGUGAAAUGUUGGGUUAAGUCCCGCAACGAGCGCAACCCUUAUCCUUUGUUGCCAGCGGUCCGGCCGGGAACUCAAAGGAGACUGCCAGUGAUAAACUGGAGGAAGGUGGGGAUGACGUCAAGUCAUCAUGGCCCACGACCGGGGCUACACGUGCUACAAUGGCGCAUACAAAGAGAAGCGACCUCGCGAGAGCAAGCGGACCUCAUAAAGUGCGUCGUAGUCCGGAUUGGAGUCUGCAACUCGACUCCAUGAAGUCGGAAUCGCUAGUAAUCGUGGAUCAGAAUGCCACGGUGAAUACGUUCCCGGGCCUUGUACACACCGCCCGUCACACCAUGGGAGUGGGUUGCAAAAGAAGUAGGUAGCUUAACCUUCGGGAGGGCGCUUACCACUUUGUGAUUCAUGACUGGGGUGAAGUCGUAACAAGGUAACCGUAGGGGAACCUGCGGUUGGAUCACCUCCUU
rnacentral:rRNA from 1 species